GGCUACGUAGCAUAAUGAUAAUGCAAGGAAUUGCAAAUUCCUUGAAGACAGUUUGAUUCUGUCCGUAGCUU
rnacentral:tRNA from 1 species